GCCUGGGUGGCUCGGUUUGUUGAGCAUCGGACUUCAGCUCAGAUCAUAAUUUUUUGGUUGCGUAGGUUUGAGCCCUGCACCGGGCU
rnacentral:tRNA from 1 species